GUAGGGAAUAUUGGACAAUGGGCGAAAGCCUGAUCCAGCCAUGCCGCGUGAUAGAUGAAGGCCCUCUGGGUUGUAAAUAUCUUUUAUCUGGGAAGAAACUCCUCUAUUCUUAGAGGCCUGACGGUACCAGAGGAAUAAGCACCGGCUAACUCCGUGCCAGCAGCCGCGGUAAUACGGAGGGUGCAAGCGUUAUCCGGAUUCACUGGGUUUAAAGGGUGCGUAGGCGGGUUGAUAAGUCAGUGGUGAAAGCUCCGGGCUUAACUUGGAAACUGCCAUUGAUACUGUCAAUCUUGAAUGUCGUAGAGGUAAGCGGAAUGUUGCAUGUAGCGGUGAAAUGCUUAGAUAUGUUACAGAACACCAAUUGCGAAGGCAGCUUACUAUGCGAUAAUUGACGCUGAGGCACGAAAGCGUGGGGAGCAAACAGGAUUAGAUACCCUAGUAGUCC
rnacentral:rRNA from 1 species